rnacentral:rRNA from 1 species
UGCAAGUCGAACGGUGAACACGGAGCUUGCUCUGUGGGAUCAGUGGCGAACGGGUGAGUAACACGUGAGCAACCUGCCCCUGACUCUGGGAUAAGCGCUGGAAACGGCGUCUAAUACUGGAUAUGUGACGUGACCGCAUGGUCUGCGUCUGGAAAGAAUUUCGGUUGGGGAUGGGCUCGCGGCCUAUCAGCUUGUUGGUGAGGUAAUGGCUCACCAAGGCGUCGACGGGUAGCCGGCCUGAGAGGGUGACCGGCCACACUGGGACUGAGACACGGCCCAGACUCCUACGGGAGGCAGCAGUGGGGAAUAUUGCACAAUGGGCGCAAGCCUGAUGCAGCAACGCCGCGUGAGGGACGACGGCCUUCGGGUUGUAAACCUCUUUUAGCAGGGAAGAAGCGAAAGUGACGGUACCUGCAGAAAAAGCGCCGGCUAACUACGUGCCAGCAGCCGCGGUAAUACGUAGGGCGCAAGCGUUAUCCGGAAUUAUUGGGCGUAAAGAGCUCGUAGGCGGUUUGUCGCGUCUGCUGUGAAAUCCGGAGGCUCAACCUCCGGCCUGCAGUGGGUACGGGCAGACUAGAGUGCGGUAGGGGAGAUUGGAAUUCCUGGUGUAGCGGUGGAAUGCGCAGAUAUCAGGAGGAACACCGAUGGCGAAGGCAGAUCUCUGGGCCGUAACUGACGCUGAGGAGCGAAAGGGUGGGGAGCAAACAGGCUUAGAUACCCUGGUAGUCCACCCCGUAAACGUUGGGAACUAGUUGUGGGGUCCAUUCCACGGAUUCCGUGACGCAGCUAACGCAUUAAGUUCCCCGCCUGGGGAGUACGGCCGCAAGGCUAAAACUCAAAGGAAUUGACGGGGACCCGCACAAGCGGCGGAGCAUGCGGAUUAAUUCGAUGCAACGCGAAGAACCUUACCAAGGCUUGACAUAUACGAGAACGGGCCAGAAAUGGUCAACUCUUUGGACACUCGUAAACA